rnacentral:rRNA from 1 species
GAUUAACGCUGGCGGCGUGCAUAACACAUGCAAGUCGAACGAUGAAACUUUACUGACUUCUUCGGAAUGAUUUAAAGCGGCUUAGUGGCGAACGGGUGAGUAACGCGUGAGUAACCUGCCUUACACAAGGGGAUAGCCUCUGGAAACGGAGAAUAAUACCCUAUGAAACCAGACAAUCGCAUGAUAAUCUGGUCAAAAUGUUUAGUGGUGUAAGAUGGACUUGCGUCUGAUUAGCUAGUUGGUGAGAUAAAAGCUCACCAAGGCAACGAUCAGUAGCCGGCUUGAGAGAGUGUACGGCAACAUUGGGACUGAGACACGGCCCAGACUCCUACGGGAGGCAGCAGUGGGGAAUUUUGCACAAUGGGGGAAACCCUGAUGCAGCGACGCCGCGUGAUUUAGAAGGCCUUCGGGUUGUAAAAAUCUUUUGUAUAGGAAGAAAAUGACAGUACUAUACGAAUAAGGUCCGGCUAAUUACGUG